CCUACGGGUGGCUGCAGUGGGGAAUAUUGCACAAUGGGCGCAAGCCUGAUGCAGCCAUGCCGCGUGUGUGAAGAAGGCCUUCGGGUUGUAAAGCACUUUCAGCGGGGAGGAAGGCGUUAAGGUUAAUAACCUUGGCGAUUGACGUUACCCGCAGAAGAAGCACCGGCUAACUCCGUGCCAGCAGCCGCGGUAAUACGGAGGGUGCAAGCGUUAAUCGGAAUUACUGGGCGUAAAGCGCACGCAGGCGGUCUGUCAAGUCGGAUGUGAAAUCCCCGGGCUCAACCUGGGAACUGCAUUCGAAACGGGCAGGCUAGAGUCUUGUAGAGGGGGGUAGAAUUCCAGGUGUAGCGGUGAAAUGCGUAGAGAUCUGGAGGAAUACCGGUGGCGAAGGCGGCCCCCUGGACAAAGACUGACGCUCAGGUGCGAAAGCGUGGGGAGCAAACAGGAUUAGAUACCCCAGUAGUC
rnacentral:rRNA from 1 species